rnacentral:lncRNA from 1 species
CUACCUCGCUGGCUUUGAGCACAACCCAGGAAGAAGUUCAAAACCAAGAAAAUGGUGUUUGGCAAGACCAGGAUGCACAAUGGCAAGAUAUUGGAUGGAGAAAUGGAUUCAGAUGGAGGCAUCAUUGAGCUUAUUCUUGACUCAUCUCAGUCCAAACAUUACUUUCUCAAUCGUUGUUCUUAAAAUCUGCAUAUUAAAAGCUCAUCAUCAACUA